rnacentral:rRNA from 1 species
UAGACGCUAUGCUCUAAAAUUAACCCAUGCAUGUUUAUUGAAUAUAAAGAAAAGACGAACAGCUCAGUAACUCUUAUUUUAUUUGAUGUAUUAGGAUUAUAACUAUGUUAAAUUAUAGAUAACAAUAAUACAAUAAGAAUAAGAUCUAUCAGUUAGUUGUUAAGGUAAUGGCUUAACAAGACUAUGACGGAUAACGGUAUUACUUUGUAAUAUUCCGGAGAAGGAGCCUGAGAGAUUGCUACUAAGUCUAAGGAUUGCAGCAGGGGCGAAACUUGACCUAUGAUAUGAUAUUGAGGCAGUUAUGAGUAGUAUUUUUAAUUAUUGUAAUAUUGUAAGUAUAUACUACAAGAUAAAUCGGAGGGCAAAUCGAGUGCCAGCAGCCGCGGUAAUACUUGUUCCGAUAGUGUGUAUGAUGAUUGAUGCAGUUAAAAAGUCUGUAGUUUAUGAUUAAUAAGCAUUGUGAGGUAUAUUGUAUGGUUAGGAGAGAGAUGAAAUGUGAUAACCCUAACUGGAUGAACAGAAGCGAAAGCUAUAUACUUAAAUGUAUUAUUAGAACAAGGACGUAAGCUAGAGGAUCGAAGAUGAUUAGAUACCAUUGUAGUUCUAGCAGUAAACUAUGUUAAAUCAUAGAUACAUUUUAAUAUGUAUUUAUGUAGAGAAAUUAAGAUUAUAUUGACUCUGGGGAUAGUAUGAUCGCAAGAUUGAAAAUUAAAGAAAUUGACGGAAGAAUACCACAAGGAGUGGAUUGUGCGGCUUAAUUUGACUCAACGCGGGGUAAUUUACCAGGUAUCACAUGAUAUAAUAUUUUAUCAUGAUAGUGGUGCAUGGCCGUUUCCAAUGGAUGCUGUGAAGUAAUGAUUAAUUUCAACAAGAUGUGAGACCCUCUAUUAAGACAGAUGUAGUGAUACAUAUGAAGGAGAGGAUUAAAACAGGUCCGUUAUGCCCUAAGAUAAUCUGGGUUGCACGCGCAAUACAAUAAUAUUUCAUAUUAUAAGGGAUAAUAUAAUGUAAGAUAUAUUUGAACAUGGAAUUGCUAGUAAAUUUUAUUUAAUAAGUAGAAUUGAAUGUGUCCCUGUUCUUUGUACACACCGCCCGUCGCUAUCUAAGAUGGUAUUAUCUAUGAACAAAUUUAUAAAGUGAAUAGAUAGUACUAGAUCUGAUAUAAGUC